rnacentral:rRNA from 1 species
AGUGAACGCUGGCGGUAGGCCUAACACAUGCAAGUCGAACGGCAGCACAGUAAGAGCUUGCUCUUACGGGUGGCGAGUGGCGGACGGGUGAGGAAUACAUCGGAAUCUACUUUUUCGUGGGGGAUAACGUAGGGAAACUUACGCUAAUACCGCAUACGACCUACGGGUGAAAGCAGGGGAUCUUCGGACCUUGCGCGAUUGAAUGAGCCGAUGUCGGAUUAGCUAGUUGGCGGGGUAAAGGCCCACCAAGGCGACGAUCCGUAGCUGGUCUGGGAGGAUGAUCAGCCACACUGGAACUGAGACACGCUCCAGACUCCUACGGGAGGCAGCAGUGGGGAAUAUUGGACAAUGGGCGCAAGCCUGAUCCAGCCAUACCGCGUGGGUGAAGAAGGCCUUCGGGUUGUAAAGCCCUUUUGUUGGGAAAGAAAAGCAGCAGGUUAAUACCCCGCUGUUCUGACGGUACCCAAAGAAUAAGCACCGGCUAACUUCGUG